CGGGGUCCGCAGCGCGGCCGAGGAGGGCCCGCUCCGGGGCCCCAGCGCCCAGGCAGGGUAAGAAGACAGGAAAAGUUUGCGAUUUUAGGCAUCUCUCAGAGGAAAAGCCAACGUCCUCCCAAUUCCCUACAAGGCCCACGUGACCUAUGCCCACCUCCAACCCUCUACCACUUCCCUCUCAUUUACUCCUCUGUGGAAAAGAAGACCACAGCCUCAGAAUUUACAGUGAGGACUGCACUGCGGGAAGGAGGGAGAGAAGUGCCUGGAAGCUGUUUGUGAAACUUGAAACUCUGAGGAACAAGAAGACGCCAAGUAUGUCUGGAGUGGAUUCCUAAGGAAAAGUCAAUGCCAUA